UCCGAAACUACCCUCCCACUCUCUCGCUCGCUCAGCUCAGCCACUCGCUCGCUGGCUCCCGAACCCCUAGCUCACCACCACCGGCGCCUCUCCGUCGCACGCGUCGUCGGCGCCUCUACUCCGCACGCAGCCCCUCCGCCUCUCCCUCUCGCAUCAUCACCGCCUUUCCAUGUUCCCAUACGCCGUCGCCUCUCCCUCUUCAAGAUUUCAUUUUUACUCCGGCGGCUGGAUCUGAAGCGCGGCUGCUCCACCUUCCUCAGGGUAGCGGGGAUCUCCGGCUCGCUGCGCAGGGGAAGGGCCCGACCGUCGGCGGCCGCUGCGGGCAGAAGGGGAACUGGGACGUCGGCGGCGGCGGCGUCCCAGGGACAGGGCACGGCGGCACGCACUGUGGGCCCACGCACAGGCACACUGUGCGCCGCCGUCCGCCAGCGCGCCGUUGUUCGACAGGAGCAGCCACAGCCACGCGGCCACGACGAGCAGGACCGCCGGUGACGGGUUCGUGCAGUCCCGUGAGGACCGCGCCGUGUGGGAUGCCGAGAUGAUGUUGCCGGAGAAGGAGUCUCCGACUACCUCACGCUCGCCGCUGGCCUGCACAUCAGGAUCAGGCAUUCAGGCAUUUCCCGCUGUCUUGCUGAUCAGGAGAGCAGAGCAGAGGCAGGAAAGGGAUAGGAGCAUGCACCAAGAUCGUCAGGGAAUAGUCAGGCAGGGCCCUGCCACCCGCCUGCACCUCCAUCCGCCGGAUCCGCGUAGCCAGGAGCCACCGGAGCGCCCCCAGGGGCCAGAUCUACGUCGGGGCCGCUGUAGCAGCCGUAGACCUGCUGCACCCGAG